AGCAGCCGCGGUAAUUCCAGCUCCAAUAGCGUAUAUUAAAGUUGUUGCAGUUAAAAAGCUCGUAGUUGAACUUCGGGGUUUACCCAUUGGUCAGGCUUAAUUGUCUGUACUGGUGAGAUAAAUCUCUACCUUCUGAGGAACUUUCAUGCCAUUUAUUUGGUGUGAUUGGAAAUCAGGACUAUUACUUUAGAAAAAGUUAGAGUGUUUAAAGCAGGCUAACGUCUGAAUAUAUUAGCAUGGAAUAAUGAAAUAGGACGGCUUGGUUCUAUUUCGUUGGUUUCUAGGAUCACCGUAAUGAUUAAUAGGGAUAGUUGGGGGCAUUAGUAUUCAAUUGUCAGAGGUGAAAUUCUUGGAUUUAUUGAAGACUAACUACUGCGAAAGCAUUUGCCAAGGAUGUUUUCAUUAAUCAAGAACGAAAGUUAGGGGAUCGAAGACGAUCA
rnacentral:rRNA from 1 species